GCGCUGCUGAGGAGUUCCAUACUUGGACGAAACGGCCGUCCAGCGC
rnacentral:hammerhead_ribozyme from 1 species